CUUGGGUGACGAGUGGCGGACGGGUGAGUAAUGUCUGGGAAACUGCCUGAUGGAGGGGGAUAACUACUGGAAACGGUAGCUAAUACCGCAUAAUGUCGCAAGACCAAAGCGGGGGACCUUCGGGCCUCGCACCAUCGGAUGUGCCCAGAUGGGAUUAGCUUGUAGGUGAGGUAAUGGCUCACCUAGGCGACGAUCCCUAGCUGGUCUGAGAGGAUGACCAGCCACACUGGAACUGAGACACGGUCCAGACUCCUACGGGAGGCAGCAGUGGGGAAUAUUGCACAAUGGGCGCAAGCCUGAUGCAGCCAUGCCGCGUGUAUGAAGAAGGCCUUCGGGUUGUAAAGUACUUUCAGCGGGGAGGAAGGCAGUCGUGUUAAUAGCACGAUUGAUUGACGUUACCCGCAGAAGAAGCACCGGCUAACUCCGUGCCAGCAGCCGCGGUAAUACGGAGGGUGCAAGCGUUAAUCGGAAUUACUGGGCGUAAAGCGCACGCAGGCGGUCUGUCAAGUCGGAUGUGAAAUCCCCGGGCUCAACCCGGGAACUGCAUUCGAAACUGGCAGACUAGAGUCUUGUAGAGGGGGGUAGAAUUCCAGGU
rnacentral:rRNA from 1 species